UACAGAGGUCCCGAGCGUUGUUCGGAUUUACUGGGCGUAAAGGGCGCGUAGGCGGCGCGGUAAGUCACUUGUGAAAUCUCUGAGCUUAACUCAGAACGGCCAAGUGAUACUGCAGUGCUAGAGUGCAGAAGGGGCAAUCGGAAUUCUUGGUGUAGCGGUGAAAUGCGUAGAUAUCAAGAGGAACACCUGAGGUGAAGACGGGUUGCUAGGCUGACACUGACGCUGAGGCGCGAAAGCCAGGGGAGCAAACGGG
rnacentral:rRNA from 1 species